AAAGCGGGUCCAGUCCAUACACG
rnacentral:siRNA from 1 species